rnacentral:RNase_P_RNA from 1 species
CUGGGAGGAAGCUCUCCGUAGAGGUCACGUGCUGGGUGUGCGUCACCCUCGAAAGCGCCUCUGGGAAGGUCUGAGAGAAGGGCCGUUCAACCACCCUAGCAGGGUGCCGCCUUCUGAAGGCGGGUGAGUUCCCAGUAAUGUGGGCCUCUAGCCGAGCCCCCUGAUUGGAGCAAAAGAAGUAGGAGAGGCGGGACUUUCCCUUCCUUCUCCUACGGAUGCUUCCGUGGCUGGCUUUGGGGUUUGGGAAUGACUCACGGCCGGCGUCCAUGAGUACAAUGGGCAGAGGUGAAGCAGCACCGCCCGCUUCAUAACCCAAUUCAGACUAGUCUCCGCCCAG